AGAAAUAUAGUAAAGCAUAGUUUUUAGGCCAACAAUUGUCGUAAAUGCUCAAUAGUCAUAUUGUUGGACAAUCACUUAAGAAAUUGAUCAUGAGGCUGGAAUGAGAAUGUUAUUAAAAAUGCAAGGCUAGUUUAAUUUAGAAUAUAUUGGCUUAUGAGAAUUGCAGUUGAAGGGACUAUUUGCCAUGUGCAUUUGGGGAAUGACCACACCAGAUAUGAGAAGUGUUGUAACUUGAAUUUGCUUUGAGAAAGUGUGAAAAAGGCAGAGGAAAGACAUGGUAUAUUAAGCAAGAAAAGAUCUGUCUGUGAUUCAAAGAUACCCCAAUAGGUGUAGCAGUCGGGAAUUAUAGA
rnacentral:misc_RNA from 1 species